rnacentral:misc_RNA from 1 species
CUUAAAUGGUAAUUGAAACAUCAAAACUAAACACAAUGGAAAAUUUAAAUUAGUAGAGCUGUAAAGGUGCUUUUUUUUUCUCCCUCAGAAAUAAUCAGAGAAAACUAAACGGAAAACAACCCAGAGCAAUAUCUAAUUGACAACAGAUCAUGGCAUUCAAAUUGCAAAAAUUAAGCGUUAGCAAACUUCGAAGUCCUGCUUUGGGUGGUGAUGAUGAGGAUGGUAGAUGCGUUGUUCUUCCUGCUGUUGUUGCUGAUGCUGCCUUAACAUUUCCUUCUGCCUCCGGAGCUCCAAUACCUUACGGUGCGAGUUUGAGUGCUGAGUCAGAACGAAAGUCGGGCUGGCCGCCGGUCUAUAUUCGGGGACCAGCCUACCCGAUUUAUACCUUACACCGCAGGCAUUGCACAGCGUUUUGGGGCCCAGAGGACCCGUGCGCCACUGUGGAGUCUUCUCUGAAGCGCAGUGGGUGCACCUCCUAACUUCUCCCUCAGCCGUCGGUGACGAUGCCCUAUUAAUCUCCUUCUUCGAUUUCAAUUUCCCGGCUGUAGGAGAUGCAAUUUCUGGAGAGGAUGAUGCCCAGGGCGUAGACUUGGUUGCUGUGCCUCUUGAGCGUUUACUGCGAGCUUUGGCACACAAUGAAGUAUCGGAUCGGACGUUGAUUGUACCGGCAAGUGAGUUGGUAGGGAAGUCGAUAAACGAGUCGUCUACGAAUUGCGAUAGCCACUCCAGCUCAGCCACGUCAUCACUAGGGACGGAGAGAUGAUCGGUGAAGUCCGUUGAGAUAGCGGGGUUAAAAGGAGCGGAAGAGGGGCAGUGGUGAAUGGAAGGAUUUUCAGGCAGAGAAAGUUGAUGAUGGUGGUUGGUAGCGGUGGAGGAAGAGGUUGAAGUGGAAGAGGAGAAGAGUUCGUCGUUGGUUAAGUCAAGGAGGUCGUCAAUGCGGAAGUAAUCUGGUGUAGAAAUUCCGUAAAUGUCCAUGUCCUUCCCUUUUAUUGUUGGGCUCGUUUUCUUGUGUCUUUCGGCUCUCUAAACUUGAGCGCAGAGAGAGAAGAGAGGAAGGAGAAAGAGGAGAGCAGGGAUUUGCUAUAUUGAUGAUACAGGGAGUGAGUAUGGGCAGAGUGAG